GCUCGGGGUGGGCGACGCCGCGCAGCACCGCGUCCGCCAGGACCCGGCAGACGGUGCCCACGUAGGUGAAGUCGCGGGUCUGGCUCCCGUCCCCGUGCA
rnacentral:tRNA from 1 species